GACGAACGCUGGCGGCGUGCUUAACACAUGCAAGUCGAACGGUGAUCCCUGGCUUGCUGGGGUGAUCAGUGGCGAACGGGUGAGUAACACGUGAGUAACCUGCCCAUGGCUCUGGGAUAACCUGGGGAAACCGAGGCUAAUACCGGAUAUGACGCGCACAGGCAUCUGUUGCGUGUGGAAAGUUUUUCGGCCAUGGAUGGGCUCGCGGCCUAUCAGCUUGUUGGUGGGGUAAUGGCCUACCAAGGCGACGACGGGUAGCCGGCCUGAGAGGGCGAUCGGCCACACUGGGGACUGAGACACGGCCCAGACUCCUACGGGAGGCAGCAGUGGGGAAUAUUGCGCAAUGGGCGAAAGCCUGACGCAGCGACGCCGCGUGAGGGAUGAAGGCCUUCGGGUUGUAAACCUCUUUCAGCUCUGACGAAGCGUAAGUGAC
rnacentral:rRNA from 1 species